rnacentral:lncRNA from 1 species
AGACCCAGUUCUGACUUUCGUGUCCAAGUGUCAGGCUUCUCAUUUCUGCCUCCAGCUUUUGGGGGAGAAAGACCUGGGCUGGCGAUCCCCCGCUUGAACUGGGAGGUGGCGUCUGCUUGCCGCUCCCUCUUGAGCAGCCAUGAACGACCACAUUCCCCCCAGGCAGGAAUCCCCUUCUAUUUGCUAUCGCUUAGCCUUAGGAGGGGCCUCUUAAACUCUGGCGCUCAAUUACGGCCUUUUUAUUGAAUAAUAACUCAGGUGUGCUUUUCAUUGAGCAUCCCUGAUACCUUUAUUGGUGUUAUUUCAGGAACCCGAAUAAUAAGGAUGAACAAUUAUUUAAAUGCUCAUUAAAGAAAAAAAACACACAAAACACCAAACAGCUCCUAGCAGAGGGAGAGUAGCCUUGCGUUGCAGGAGCCCAACUGCAGGUUGGUUCCCAAGAGUCACAAUAAAAAAUGAUGUUUCCUCAGCGUUUGCAUGUUUUGACUUCCCUGGCACCUCGACUGCAUCAGGCAGGCUGCUUUAAAAUUCCGCCGCGGUUUUAUUACUGCCAGCCUUACGCAGGAAGGCUUCCCUGAACCAGCCACUGCCAGGUACAAGACGGAUCAUAAAAAAAUGAAACAUGCAGAGCCCAGCCGUAACACCUGCACGGUGAUGCGCAGAUUUUGUCGGGUGUGUCCACGUGCGGGAUCUCGUUUGCUCCCUCGUCCCUCCUCGGAAGCAGGCGUGUUGUUCCCCCUCCACUGAUGAGGAAACCGAGGCUCAGAGAGGUUAGGUACCUCGAUUGAUAUCACUCUGCCGCAAAUAAGGCAGAGGUAGGCACCCGGGCUGCUGUCCAGGGUUCUCGUAACUGAGAGGUUGCAGGGAGGAUUUGGAAUUUGAGAAAAACAUACAGGUCUCCCUUUGGAGCGUGCAGAGCCAAGAAGGUCCAGUGGAUUCUAAUAUGUCUGAGGAAGGAAGCGCGCAAGCAGACCAGGAAAACGUGGGCCCUGGAUUCUGUGUCUCCAAGCCCGAUGGAAGGAUCCGAGUGCAGCUGACGUUUCUGGGUCUGUAGGCUGCAUUGCUGGCUAGGUUGCUUCUGAAUCUCUUCGGCAUGGACCUAUCCAUUGGAACCCCAGCAGCCACAGUGGCAGCGUCUUGGGACAUGGAUCCUCUCUGGGCCGCCGGCGAAGGUGGAUCUUCCAGCCCCCUCCCCCGGCAGGUGGCCUGGAGCUCCAGGACGGGGUGACAGCCCUGAGUCUGAAGCAGCCGGCUCCCAGGGGUCUUCUGCGUUUAAACACGAGCCGUCUGCGACCAUGUGUGUGGGGGCUUUAAAAUACUCAGCAAGGUGGCGAAGAGAAAAAUAAAAAAAAAUGUUCCAAGUGGCUCUUCUCUGACAUGGUUCAGUUCUCAAAAAGCGAGCAGCCCCCGUGUUGAAGGCUACUUCCAGGCGAAAGAUAACCAGGAGUGGUGACAUGGAAAAGAACGUUUUAUUUUCAAAGGAAAUUCCAGGAGAGUAGAAAGAGCGUUGUUUAGGGAGAGCCUUUGAGGGCUGGGAGAUUUAAAAAGUAUUGGAAGCUGUCAGGUCCUGGGAAGUGCGUCACCUGCAAUGAACCUUGCCACCUGCAGUGGAGGGACGUGGGGGAACCAAGUUGGUUCAGGGGUGCGGGAAGAGGGGCCCUGGGAUCCCAUUCGAUGGAUACAACACAGAACGCUUCCCCACCUGAUGAACAGGUAACCUCCUCCCCAGGCGGCUUCAGUUAGAAUCUUAAAAGUAUCUUUUGCUCUUUUUUUUUUUUUUUUUUUUUUUUAAUUUUAAACAAGAAAUGGAAACAUCUGAGUUCUUUAGAACAUGCAACUACAUGCUUCUCGGCAGCUGCCAUUUGAGUUUUAAAAAUACAUAUAUAUUUUAAUGGGCCAUUCUGGCUGCAGAGCUUCACGUGAAGGCCUAUGACCUCGUGGAAGUGGCGCUUCAUUUGUGUUUUUAGCGGCUGGUCAGAAAGGGAGUUUUUAUUUAUCUUCUUAUGUAUUACUUAUUUAUUGUGCCUUGCUCCAGAAAAAAGUUUGAGGGGGACUCUGCAUACGAUGGCUGCUGGCCAGUCCUCCUGUGAGCCUGUCUGCGGGGAGAGUUCUGCUCCCCACAUCCAUUAACCAAUAAGCCAGGGAAGGAGCCGGUGCCGCCAAGAAGCAGGUGCUUUUCUGUGCCAGCGGUGUAGCACACAGCAAGGGGGGCUGGGGAGUGCAGCGGCCUGCCUGCUCCAGCCUAGGGCCUCCUGCCUGUUUGCGGGGGGGUGCAGCCCCCCUCGGAGGCGCCCACAUGGGGAACUGAAUCAUGCAGAUGUAACUGGGGGAAGGCAGGUACCCAGGCAUCCUAGAGAAAGAGAAUCGUCUCAGAAUUUCUCUGGGAGCUGUGUGUGAGGUGAAGCUGAACUUAGAAGAAGAAGAACUUAGAAGAAGCUCUGAACUUUAGAGCUCUUUUUUCCUUUCUCCCCCCACCCCCCCACCGCCUAUACCGGCUCCCCCCACUGGUCUCCUCAACCACCAAACAUGCAGACCAAACAAGACACGAGUGUGCAGUGAGGCCCGCGUGCAGACACCGGGCUUGGGAGGCAUGUCUUGGUUUCUGGCAGUAGGUGAUCUGGCCCAGUUGGCUCUGUGUCUGGGAGACUCUCCACCCUGCCCCCCUGCCUGGCUUGCGGGGGUGCAGGCCCUUGGUACCUGUUGGGUCUAAACUGUACAGAACUCGGGGCAUCUGGUCCCGGAGCCGCUUGGUUUUUACUGCUAAGGGUGAAGCCCUGGAGAAGCAUAGUUUGUGGGUGAAUCUCCCGGGGAGAUGGGGGUUGGCUUUACCCCCCCCCCCCACACACGGACCCAGCCUAUGGUAAGGAACAUGCCUGCAGCUACUGUACUUUAUCAGCGUUCAAAUCUCCCAGGUACAAGAAAGUCUGAAAAAACAAAAGGGGUUUUCAAGAUUGUGGCUGUGAUGUCCUGUUCCCUUUUCCUUCCCUGGUCAGUGGGCAGAUCUGAUGGUGGGAGGCAGGGCCUGCCCACACCCGCCCCAUCCACGGGAGGCAUCAGGAGAGAGUCUGGCUGGAGACGCAGCCAGUUUCACCUGUAGGUCAAGGACAGCGGCCACAGGACCGGCUCUGGAUGGAACAUGCAGGCUCCAUGCAGUGACUGCUCCAGUGAGGGACACAGACAGGGACGUGUUGGUUCUGUGCCACCAGUGUCCACUCGGAUUUGCUCCUGAUGCCACCAGUGCCAGUUUGUCACAAAUCCCUGCUUGCUGCCAUUCAUCCUGACUGUCUUGUCAGAUGUGACAUUCCUUCACUCAGCAUUUCUGGCACAGGACUUCAUGACCUCCCCCGCCCCCUCCUGGGGUCUGUAGAGGCCAGGUUCGACACUACUGCUGGGGGGGAACUUGUGUGAGGCCAUUCGAGCAAUGCGGGUGGGAGCCAUCACCCAGUCGUGAUCUUUACAACAUGCUGAAUUUCCUCUGUCGCUACACAUCCGUGUUGAAAUUAGACAGUGCUUCGGCGGUCCCGUGGUGGCUCAGUGGAAACGAACCUGGCUAGUAUCCAUGAGGAUGCGGGUUGGAUCCCUGGCCUUGCUCAGUGGGUCGGGGAUCCAGCGUUGCCGUGAGCUGUGGUGUGGGUCACAGACGUGGCUUGGAUCCCACGUUGCUGCGGCUCUGACGUAGGCCAGCAGGUAGAACUCCGAUUAGACCCCUAGCCUGGGAACCUCCAUAUGCCAUGG